GCCCAACUGAGCCUCGGGGGUCCGGGGUGCAGGCUUCAAACCUGUAGCUGACUAUCGUCAGAGUGGUUUGACUCCACCUGGUGGGCG
rnacentral:tRNA from 1 species